CAACUCGCCUACAUGAAGUCGGAAUCGCUAGUAAUCGCGGAUCAGCAUGCCGCGGUGAAUACGUUCCCGGGCCUUGUACACACCGCCCGUCACACCAUGAGAGUUUGUAACACCCAAAGCCGGUGGGUAACCUUUUGGAGCCAGCCGUCUAAGGUGGGACAGAUGAUUGGGGUGAAGUCGUAACAAGGUAGC
rnacentral:rRNA from 1 species